rnacentral:rRNA from 1 species
ACAGGGUGACAGGUGGUGCAUGGUUGUCGUCAGCUCGUGUCGUGAGAUGUUGGGUUAAGUCCCGCAACGAGCGCAACCCUCGCCUCUAGUUGCCAGCAUUCGGUUGGGCACUCUAGAGGGACUGCCGGCUAAAAGUCGGAGGAAGUGGGGAUGACGUCAAAUCAUCAUGCCCCUUAUGACCUGGGCUACACACGUGCUACAAUGGGCGGUACAAAGGGUCGCGAACCCGCGAGGGGGAGCCAAUCCCAAAAAGCCGCUCUCAGUUCGGAUUGCAGGCUGCAACUCGCCUGCAUGAAGCCGGAAUCGCUAGUAAUCGCGGAUCAGCAUGCCGCGGUGAAUACGUUCCCGGGCCUU